AAAAAAAAAACACAUCUUCUAUUUCGAACAUUUCCUAAAAUUUACUCUUUUUAUAUUGAUAUCUGACCCAUAAAAUGUUUGUUUAAAGAAAUCCUACAAUAAGCAUGCUGGAAGAAUCAAAUUAUAUGGGCUAUGGCAUUCCAUAUUUGUAUUUAUUCAUAAAUAAAUGUGAGUUGAUUAAUUAUUUGAUAGUAAUCAAUUUGUAAU
rnacentral:lncRNA from 1 species